rnacentral:rRNA from 1 species
GACGAACGCUGGCGGCGUGCUUAACACAUGCAAGUCGAACGAAGUGGCGAACGGGUGAGUAACGCGUAAUCAACCUGCCCUUCAGAGGGGGACAACAGUUGGAAAAGACUGCUAAUACCGCAUACUGAAGGAGGGGAUUGCGUCUGAUUAGCGAGUGGGAGGGGUAACGGCCUACCAAGGCGAGGAUCAGUAGCCGGUCUGAGGGGGUGAACGGCCACAUUGGGACUGAGACACGGCCCAGAAUCCUACGGGAGGCAGCAGUGGGGAAUCUUCCGCCAUGGACGAAAGUCUUACUGAGCAACGCCGCGUGAGUGAUUACGGCCUUCGGGUUGUAAAGCUCUGUUAAUCGGGACGCGGUACCGGAAUAGAAAGCCACGGCUAACUACGUGCCAGCCGCCGCGGUAAUAC